GCCGCGGUAGCUCAGUUGGUAGAGCAUCGCACGGGUUAUUCGAAGGUCGCAGGUUCGGUUCCUGCCCGCGGCA
rnacentral:tRNA from 1 species